AUUGAACGCUGGCGAAAUGCUUUACACAUGCAAGUCGAACGGCAGCACGGACUUCGGUCUGGUGGCGAGUGGCGAACGGGUGAGUAAUGUAUCGGAACGUGCCCAGUCGUGGGGGAUAACGUAGUGAAAAUUACGCUAAUACCGCAUACGAUCUAUGGAUGAAAGCGGGGGAUCGCAAGACCUCGCGCGAUUGGAGCGGCCGAUAUCAGAUUAGGUAGUUGGUGGGGUAAAGGCCCACCAAGCCAACGAUCUGCAGCUGGUCUGAGAGGACGACCAGCCACACUGGAACUGAGACACGGUCCAGACUCCUACGGGAGGCAGCAGUGGGGAAUUUUGGACAAUGGGCGAAAGCCUGAUCCAGCCAUUCCGCGUGCAGGAUGAAGGCCCUCGGGUUGUAAACUGCUUUUGUACAGAACGAAAAGGUUUCUACUAAUACUAGGAGCUCAUGACGGUACUGUAAGAAUAAGCACCGGCUAACUACGUGCCAGCAGCCGCGGUAA
rnacentral:rRNA from 1 species